rnacentral:rRNA from 1 species
CCUACGGGAGGCAGCAGUAGGGAAUAUUGGACAAUGGGUGCGAGCCUGAUCCAGCCAUGCCGCGUGCAGGAAGAAGGCCUUCUGGGUUGUAAACUGCUUUUGCCGGGGGAUAAAAGACCCAUGCGUGGGGAAUUGAAGGUACCCGGUGAAUAAGCCACGGCUAACUACGUGCCAGCAGCCGCGGUAAUACGUAGGUGGCGAGCGUUGUCCGGAUUUAUUGGGUUUAAAGGGUGCGUAGGCGGCCCCGUAAGUCAGUGGUGAAAUACGGCAGCUCAACUGUCGAGGUGCCAUUGAUACUGCGGGGCUUGAGUACAGUCGAGGUAGGCGGAAUUGACGGUGUAGCGGUGAAAUGCUUAGAUAUCGUCAAGAACACCGAUAGCGAAGGCAGCUUGCUAGGCUGUAACUGACGCUGAGGCACGAAAGUGCGGGGAUCAAACAGGAUUAGAUACCCUGGUAGUCCGCACAGUAAACGAUGGUCACUCGGUGUUGGCGGUACACGGCCAGCGCCUUAGCGAAAGCGUUAAGUGACCCACCUGGGGAGUACGCCCGCAAGGGUGAACGUCAAAUGAAUUGACGG